AUUGUUGCAGUUAAAACGCUCGUAGUUGAAUUUCAAAGAGUCAUGGCGUUUCUGAGGUGCUACGCUUGGUUGAUCGCCCAGCACUGACCAUCUAUGAUUUUAUUGUAGAACAGUGAGCCUGGGUGUUUAGCUCCAAGAAAGUUGUCUCCUUUACAAAGUGAUUUUUCUAAGGGUCUCUUGAGUACCAGUCCUUGGGAGGUUCUUUUUACCUUGAGUAAAUUAGAGUGUUUAAAGCAAACAGAUACAACAGUUUACUGUGUUUAAAUACUACAGCAUGGAAUAAUAAUAUCGAAUGAGCCGACGUACUUUUCGUUUCUUUGUUAUUUUGGCUUAGUUACGAUUAACAGGAAUAGUUGGGGGCAUUUGUAUUCAGAUGUUAGAGGUGAAAUUCUAAGAUUAUCUGGAGACGAACAAUUGCGAAAGCAUCUGUCUAACAUAUUUUCAUUAAUCAAGAACGAAAGUUAAGGGAGUGAAGACGAUCAGAUACCGUCGUAAUCUUAACCAUAAACUAUGCCAACUAUGUUUUGGAUGUAUGAGAAAAAGGUGGAAUACUUUGUUUUACGACAUUGUCAUUCCAUUUAUGCUUCAUUCAGUACCUUAGAGAAAUCAAAGUCUUUGGGUUCUGGGGCGAGUAUUCGCGCAAGCGAGAAAGUUAAAAGAAUUGACGGAAGGGCACCACCAGGCGUGGAGCUUGCGGCUUAAUUUGACUCAACACGGGGAAACUUACUAGUAUAAGACAAGAGUAGGAUUGACAGAUUAAUAGCUCUUUCUUGAUUUCUUGGAUGGUGAUGCAUGCCGUUUUUAGUUCGUGAAUAUGAUUUGUCUGGUUAAUUCCGAUAACGAACGAGACCUUAACCUGCUAGUUAGCGGCCGGUAUGUCGCGAAUUUAUCAAAAUCUUAUCUCGUAGGCUGGAUUAUUUUUAGAAGAUAUGACGGAUAACCGAGUCGAGUGUCGUCCCCAUCACUGUUCUAUUAAUUCGCAGUCUGUCCUGGUUUUUUUUUUGGUAAGUAUGUAUCCGCUUGAAUGUAAGCUUCUUAGAGGUACGAUGUGUGCU
rnacentral:rRNA from 1 species